CGGUAAGGUCAGCGACUGGGGUGAAGUCAUAACAAGGUAGCCGUAGGUGAACCUGCAGAAGGAUCA
rnacentral:rRNA from 1 species